GCUUGGAAAAUGAACUGGUUAAAGUCAUUCCAAAAGACAUCUUUGAAAUUACUGUUGUCACUUUGGACUAUGGGAUGAAAAACAAGGACCCCAUCAAUACCACAUAUUUCUACACUAAGGCUAACCCUACUGAAGCAUUCAAGAUUCCCAGAGAACAGGUGUCCAAGCUUCUCCCAGUGUGCUUUGCUGAGAAGAUCCUCAGAGUUUACUGUAAGAACUCAGCCAGUCUGAGAGAUGCUAAGUUCUGCUUUCAAAGCUGGUGUCACGAAAAUGACUUUCUAACUGAGGUAACACUUUAUUCUGUUGGGUGGCAGUGACAGG